UACGGAGGGUGCAAGCGUUAUCCGGAUUCACUGGGUUUAAAGGGUGUGUAGGCGGACAGUUAAGUCAGCGGUGAAAUCUCCGGGCUCAACCCGGAAACUGCCAUUGAUACUAUCUGUCUUGAAUAUUGUUGAGGUGGGCGGAAUAUGUCAUGUAGCGGUGAAAUGCUUAGAUAUGACAUAGAACACCGAUGCGAAGGCAGCUCACUAAACAAUGAUUGACGCUGAGGCACGAAAGCGUGGGGAUCAAACAGGA
rnacentral:rRNA from 1 species